rnacentral:rRNA from 1 species
UAUUGGGCGUAAGCGCGCGCAGGUGGUUUCUUAAGUCUGAUGUGAAAGCCCACCCCUCAACCGUGGAGGGUCAUUGGAAACUGGGAGACUUGAGUGCCUAAGAGGAAAGUGGAAUUCCAUGUGUAGCGGUGAAAUGCGUAGAGAUAUGGAGGAACACCAGUGGCGAAGGCGACCUUCUGGUCUGUAACUGACACUGAGGCGCGAAAGCGUGGGGAGCAAACAGGAUUACAUACCCUGGUAGUCCACGCCGUAUGCGAUGAGUGCUAAGUGUUA